rnacentral:rRNA from 1 species
CUGCUGCCUUCCGUAGGAGUUUGGACCGUGUCUCAGUUCCAAUGUGGGGGACCUUCCUCUCAGAACCCCUACGCAUCGUCGGCUUGGUGGGCCGUUGCCCCACCAACUACCUAAUGCGCCGCAUGCCCAUCCAUGACCGGGGUCGCCCUCUUUGACCGGCAGGGGAUGUCCCCUCCCGGCAUUAUGUUGUAUUAGGCGGGAUUUCUCCCGGUUAUCCAUCUGUCACGGCCAGGUUGCAUACGUGUUACUCACCCGUGCGCCGGUCG